rnacentral:rRNA from 1 species
CCUACGGGCGGCAGCAGUGAGGAAUAUUGGUCAAUGGACGAGAGCCUGAACCAGCCAAGCAGCGUGAAGGAUGACUGCCUUAGGGGUGGUAAACUCUUUUUAUAUGGGAGUAAAACAGCGUAUGCAUACCGCCUUGUAUGUACCAUAUGAAUAAGGAACGGCUAACUCCGUGCCAGCAGCCGCGGUAAUACGGAGGAUCCGAGCGUUAUCCGGAUUUAUUGGGUUUAAAGGGAGCGUAGGUGGGAGGUUAAGUCAGUUGUGAAAGCUUGCGGCUCAACCGUAAAAUUGCAGUUGAAACUGGCAAUCUGGAGUACAGUAGAGGUGAGCGGAAUUCCUGGUGUAGCGGUGAAAUGCGUAGAUAUCACGAAGAACACCAGUGGCGAAGGCAGCUAACUGGA